rnacentral:rRNA from 1 species
UACGGAGGGUGCAAGCGUUAUCCGGAUUCACUGGGUUUAAAGGGUGCGUAGGUGGGCAGUUAAGUCAGUGGUGAAAUCUCCGGGCUCAACCCGGAAACUGCCGUUGAUACUAUCUGUCUUGAAUAUCGUGGAGGUAAGCGGAAUAUGUCAUGUAGCGGUGAAAUGCUUAGAUAUGACAUAGAACACCAAUUGCGAAGGCAGCUUACUACCCGAAUAUUGACACUGAGGCACGAAAGCGUGGGGAUCAAACAGG